CAACAGCAGGGCUCAACUGUGACUUUGGAACCCAGCAUGUGGUUUCUGUGUCUGAAGCCUGAGAUAUGUGGCCAUCACCUCUUCAUCCACUUUUCCAUUGAACAAGGACUCCUGGAUCCCAUCAGGAAUAUGAGCACAGAGUCUCCUGCAUCUUCCAUGAGGAAUACGUCCUAAAGCAUCGCCAAGACACCUGCCUCCAUGGGGAAGAAUUUGAAGAGGACUCCCAGGAACCCUACAGCUUCAGUGGAUCAUUGUGCUCCUCAACCCACCGCAGAUCUGGGCACAUGCAUCCAGCAGGAUACCUCCACUCUCAGCCUCCUGUGAGCCACGCCCACCUGGGGCAGCAGCAGGCAGCAAAGGUGACCCCAAGUCCCCAGGCCUCCUCUCCUGCAUGCUGCCGUCCUCCUCACCUCCGCUCCCGUGCUCCAUCACAACGUAGCUGUCCUCACCUGUCUGGAUAACAUGGAACAGCUGGAUGACAUUGGGUGACUCGAGCUUCCACUGGGUUCUCUCCUGUCAAUACUCUGUGGGGGACGGAGCUCUGCUGUCCUUUCUGAAUGACAUUCAUGGACACCCGG